rnacentral:ncRNA from 2 species
ACAAUCCGACAGGGGAGCGCACACAGCGCUGAGAGUGCGGCCCGCGCCGCAGACCCUCGGACCUGAUCCGGUUAGUACCGGCGUAGGGAGUCAGCUCGACCAUGAA